ensembl:lncRNA
CAGCAUCAGCACGGACAGCAGCACAGCGGAGACCACAGCAAUCACUGGGAUCCAAAUGCAGCGAUACAGUGUCUUGGGGAAAAGCUAACUCACAGAUAUUUUUUCCACAUCCACAGCAUAGGAACACAGGCCAGCAUCAGCACGGACAGCAGCACAGCGGAGACCACAGCAAUCACUGGGAUGUGGUGUUUUCGCAGCUCUUCGCCAACAGCGGCCGUUGUGAUUUUCCCAACAUCCACCCCUGGAAGAACCGAGACAAUGCCGCAGGUUACUGUCAUCUGCGCUGCAGAUGAUCUCACAGUGUGCUUCAUGGACCCAAGAGGUUUCCUUUAUCAUCAGUGGGUACCUCCAUCUCUGGUGUAUAAGCACCAGAGGACAAGAAGGAUUGCUUCCACUUCUCGUUGGGUAGGGAGAGGCUGCACCAGCACUCUGGGCUCAGGGCUGGGGCUCUGCCCUGGGGUCUGGGCUUUGUCCGUCGGGAGCAGUGCAGAGCAGAAACCCUCACACUUUCCCCAGCACACACGUCCUGAGCUCUCCACCAGAACAUCCCCCAGGCUGAAGGUCGGCCUCCAGCCAGCACAAGGCACAGCUGGAGCCAGCCCAGCAGAGAAACACUCCUGCAGGCUCCUACCACACAGGGCCAGGCUCAUCGCCCUCGCGUUCCUUUAUAGCAUGUGCUCUGUACUAGCCUGCUCACGUUUGGCUGCCGGCCUGCUG